GAGGAUCUAUGAGCCACUGGCUAAGGCUUCCAUAAGAAGCAACUGGAGAACAACGGACAUGAGGUUCUUGUCACAGCAGGAGUUGGGAGCAGUACCCACCUCCAUUGUGCUCCUCAUGGAAACACUGGGGCAUGAAAGAUGGCCAGAAGCUGAAUCAGUGGGGCAGAAUUGGCUAUUGUGCUAGGAUAGAGGACCAGCCUUGCUCCAGGCCCACAUGUGUGAUCGAUCUCCCCACAUAAAGGAAAGAAAAUUAAGUGGAUAGCAAGCACAGAUCUGAUUCUCACAUCACAAGGAGAUCCCCCAUGUACCCACUUCACGUGACCACUAUCUCAAGGGCCACUGUGAAGACCCCGCUUGUGCCAUCGACUUGUCCUUCAUCCACUCAGCUGCAAUUCAGUAUCACAGCUUUUGUCCUCAUCCUGCCUCAUUUCACUUUUCCAGACCCACCUGACACCAGUGAGAGAUGACCCCUGACACCUCAGGAGAAGUGUGUGCUGACCACGGUCCCAUCUUACUGUGGACCCAGUGCGGCCUCAGAACAUAAGGCAGUUUCUCCUUUUAUUCUUCUGGAGGAAGUGCAGUUGGGACGCGGAGUGUGGGCAGAGUUGAAUAGACCUUUGUGGUGGAUUAUUUCUUGCCUUUGGAGGCUGCUGAGCUUUGAUCCACCAGAAACUGCUAGUAGGCUUCUGCUCUAGAGUUAUCUUUCAACAUUUGGGAUUGUAGUGAGGGUUCUUCUGAGCCCAGAAAGUAAUAAGUUACCAGACUUUGCAUUAUUCGACCAGUUAGCAAGUCUCAUAUUUGGGGUUGGUUAGGUGCGAUCACAACUUCGUCAUUAUUUACAUACAUGUUUUCAAGUUGGGUGUUAAGUGUGCAUGUUUCAUCUGUAUUACCUGAUGUAAGCUUACAGCCAGGAAAAAUUGCUCCCGUGCAAUAUGUGUCUACUUAUUCCUGUUUCCACGGCUAAGAAGUUCACAUAUAUAGAAUUAGAAAGCCAUUAAUUUGAGUCAGAACAAAACGUGUGUCUCUUAGAGUUGGUGACACCGAAUGGCUUGGAAAAAAAAAAGAAGAAUCUUUUGACUCUACAAUUAAUUUUAGACUUAAGUAAGAUUCUCAGGCAUGUGGUUGACUUGCAUGUUAAGUGGGUGAGUGAAUUCUAAAGUCAUGCACUGCAAUUUACUGUGGAUAUGAAAAUUUAACUCCCUUUCUUCCAAGCCAAUUUUACAUUUUAAAAAAUUUUUAAAUUUUCAUUAUUAGUAUGUGUUUGCAAUAUAUAAUGAUUACAUUCAUUAUGGGGAGUUGCUACGUGUCUAACUUUACAUUUCUAAUUUAAAGUACUGAAUUGAUUAAUGUGGACAGCAGGAGCAGAAUGGGCCCACAUUCUUACAUUCUUCAGUAGGUUUGGGUUUUCCCUUUGGGAAAUUUUUUUUAAAAAGAACUUAUUGGCUUAGUUCCCGGCAUCAGAAAACUACAUGCUCAGUCAGGCAGAGUAGGGACGGCUUAAUAAAGGGCCUGGGGACAGUUUAUCACUAGAUUUCCCAAGGAGAAGAGAUCAGGCAGCACCGGGAAAGCCCGACACCAUAAUCUGGACAAGGAUUACACAAAGGAGGGAAGUGCCGGAGCCAGGAAACCACCAUUCCGAAUAAGAGCAAUCCCGUAAUUCUGUCCCUAGGAAACAACUGUGGGUAAUUUUGAGCCCUUCUCAUUUUACAGAGAAGAUUCCAGGCAGUUCAAAUUCCUUUGCAAGGUGAGCUCAGGGAAAUGAACAUAAAGGCAUAAGCAUUUUUUUUUUUUUUCAUAGUGAAUUCAAAUAUUUGUAGAAAUUUCCCAAGGAAGUGAUCCUUUGACUUUUUGGAAUUGUGGAUUCUUUGAAGUCUCUGAGAAAAACUGCAGCCUGCUCCCCCACAACCCCCUCCAAAGCAAACAAUCCCCCCAUGUAUGCAGGUAUGCCCAAUAUUUUACAUACAAUUUCUAGAUUUGGCGGCCAUUCUGAAGUCCAUCUUCAGGGGUCCCUUGUGAUCUUAAAAUUUCAGGUUAAUGAUCUUUCAUUUUAGGAGUACUAUGGUGUCGCCAACUUCAAUAAGUGAUAGUCAUGAGGCACCCGUAGUGAGGAAAGACUUCAUGGAAGACUGUUAUCUCUACACAGCAGGGCUAUGGGCACUUGGGAAAAGUCACAGGGCCACAGGUGGAGGAAAAGUCAAAGACUGGAAACAAAUCAGUGGAAGAAGUGUGUUUUGCAAGUGGGUAAGUCAGUACUGAAUUUCCAAUUCAUCAUCCAUACCAUGAUGCUUGGAGUCCACAAACCCUUAUCUUUCUCCUUCAAUGGGUAAUAUGGGGGAACAGAUGGAGUGGAAGCACCAUGGACUGUGGGCCUGGACUGAUCUUGGUUUAAAUCCCAGUGUUGAGUAUUAUCCAUCGGUGACUUUGGGCAAGUUAUUCGAUUUCCGAAGUCUUUACUUCUAAGAAAGCUAUAGAAAUGUACCCAAACAAUUAUGUACAUGUAAAUAAAAUGUUACAUGCAAACUCA